AAAGCCCAAGGUUUCCUACGCAACGUUCAUCGGCGUAGGGUGAGUCGGCUCCUAAGGCGAGGCAGAAAUGCGUAGUCGAUGGGAAACAGGUCAAUAUUCCUGUACCGAUUCUAGAUGCGAUGUGGGGACGGAGAAGGUUAGGUCAGCCGGGUGUUGGACGUCCCGGUUUAAGCGUGUAGGCGUGCCCCUUAGGCAAAUCCGGGGGGCUGAGCUGAGGCGUGAUGACGAGGAACCACGGUUCCGAAGUGAUUGAUACCAAGCUUCCAGGAAAAGCCACUAAGCUUCAGUCUAGAGUUGACCGUACCGCAAACCGACACAGGUGGGCAGGAUGAAAAUUCUAAGGCGCUUGAGAGAACUCAGGAGAAGGAACUCGGCAAAUUAACACCGUAACUUCGGGAGAAGGUGUGCCCCGGUAGCGUGUAGAGACUUGCUCUCGAAGCGCGAUGGGGUUGCAGUGAAAUGGUGGCUGCGACUGUUUAAUAAAAACACAGCGCUCUGCAAACACGAAAGUGGACGUAUAGGGUGUGACGCCUGCCCGGUGCCGGAAGGUUAAGUGAUGGGGUGCAAGCUCUUGAUCGAAGCCCCGGUAAACGGCGGCCGUAACAAUAACGGUCCUAAGGUAGCGAAAUUCCUUGUCGGGUAAGUUCCGACCUGCACGAAUGGCGUAACGAUGGCCACACUGUCUCCUCCUGGGACUCAGCGAAGUUGAAAUGUUUGUGAAGAUGCAAUCUACCCGCGGCUAGACGGAAAGACCCCAUGAACCUUUACUGUAGCUUUGCAUUGGACUUUGAACCGGUUUGUGUAGGAUAGGUGGGAGACUGUGAAGCCGGGACGCUAGUUUCGGUGGAGUCAACCUUGAAAUACCACCCUGAUUUGUUUGAGGUUCUAACCUUGGUCCGUGAAUCCGGAUCGGGGACCGUGCAUGGUAGGCAGUUUGACUGGGGCGGUCUCCUCCCAAAAGGUAACGGAGGAGUACGAAGGUACGCUUAGGGCGGUCGGACAUCGCCCACAAAGUGCAAUGGCAAAAGCGUGCUUGACUGCGAGACCCACAAGUCGAGCAGGUACGAAAGUAGGUCAUAGUGAUCCGGUGGUUCUGUAUGGAAGGGCCAUCGCUCAACGGAUAAAAGGUACUCUGGGGAUAACAGGCUAAUUCCUCCCAAGAGUUCAUAUCGACGGGGGAGUUUGGCACCUCGAUGUCGGCUCAUCACAUCCUGGGGCUGUAGUCGGUCCCAAGGGUAUGGCUGUUCGCCAUUUAAAGUGGUACGCGAGCUGGGUUUAAAACGUCGUGAGACAGUUUGGUCCCUAUCUGCCGUGGGCGCUGGAAAUUUGAAGGGGGCUGCUCCUAGUACGAGAGGACCGGAGUGGACGAACCUCUGGUGUACCGGUUAUGACGCCAGUCGUAUCGCCGGGUAGCUAAGUUCGGAAGAGAUAAACGCUGAAAGCAUCUAAGCGUGAAACUCGCCUUAAGAUAAGAUUUCCCGGAGUCUUUAACUCCCUGGAGGGUCGUCGAAGACCACGACGUUGAUAGGUCAGGUGCGGAAGCGCAGCAACGCGUUAAGCUAACUGAUACUAAUUGCCCGUGCGGCUUGAUC
rnacentral:rRNA from 1 species